rnacentral:lncRNA from 1 species
AUUCAUUGUUUAUGCACCACACCCAGUGCUACAGAUGGAGCUUUUAAUUCUUGUAGUCACUUUGGAGUCAAGUAACAUUAAACACCAUGACAAGAAUCGGGAGUCCCUGUCCAUCAGCAGCAGUAGGUGGUUGUAUCAAGAGUUGUUUUGGGUAAUUCAGUUUUUUUUCCAUUUCCGUACAAAAUUUUUAAUCACUUCGUCAACUUCUACUUUAAAAAAAAACUGGUAAGUUUUAAUUGGAAUUCUUUGAAUCUAUAGAUCAGUUUCAGCAGGAUUGACACAUUAACAGUCUUGACUCUUCUGAUAUGUGCAAACAUUGUCUCUCUCCAUUUAUUUAAAUCUUCAAAUUUCUGAGCAACAUUAGAAAUAUAUGUGUAUGUAUAUAAAAUAUAUAUGUUUUUAACAUAAAGAUUUGGAUAUUUGUUGCCAGAUUUACCCUUAAGUAUUUAAUAUCUAUUUUUAAGAUUUUAUUUAUUUAUUUAUUUGACAGAGAUCACAAGUAGGCAGGCAGAGAGGGAAAGAGGAGGAAGCAGGCUCGCCUCCGAGCAGAGAGCCCGAUGUGGGGCUUGAUCCCAGGACUCUGGGAUCAUGACCUGAGUCGAAGGCAGAGGCUUUAGCCCACUGAGCCACCCAGGCGCCCUGAGUAUUUAAUAUUUUAAUAUUAUGUUAAAUGGUACUAAUUUUUACUUCACUUUCUAAUUGUUUACUGUUAUUAUAUAGAAAUACCAUAGAUUUUUACUUAUGUUUCAAGUUUUUAUUUAAAUUUUAAUUAGUUAACAGGCAGUGUAGUAUUUGUUUCAGGAGUAGAAUUUUGUGAUUCAUCACUUGUAUAUAACACCCCCGGCUCAUCAUAAGUGUUCUCCUUAAUACCCAUCACUCAUUUAGUGCAUCUUCCUGCCAACUUUCCCCCUCACCAGCAACACUGUUUUUCUCUAUAGUUAAGAGUCCCUUAUGGUUUCUACCCCUUUUUCCCCUUUUCCCUUACGUUCAUCUGUUUUGUCUCUUAAAUUCAACAUAUAAGAGAAAUCAUAUGGUAUUUAACGUUCUCUGACUGACUUACUUUGCUUAGCAUAAUAACUCUAGUUCCUUCCACAUCAUUACAAAUGGCAAGAUUUCAUUCUUUAUGAUUGUUGAAUAAUA